UGUAUAUGGACAUAUGUUGAGUAUAUGUAUGGUUGGCUAUGGUCUUAUAUGUUAAUGUUGACUUGUAUUAUGUCUCUUAUACUUGUGAAGUGAAGGUUUUAUCAAAAUGAUAUGAAAGCAUUUACUUUCUUGUAAAUGUCCGUUGUGCAUAUUUUCUUGCAUGGUCUCCAUACUUAGUACUUAAUUGUGCUAACCCCUUUCUUUCCCUUUUUGGACUAAAGUGUAGGGAUUUGGAGAUGAUGACAUGUCAU
rnacentral:lncRNA from 1 species